UACGUAGGGUGCAAGCGUUAAUCGGAAUUACUGGGCGUAAAGGGUACGCAGGCGGUUUUAUAAGUCAGCGGUGAAAUCCCCGGGCUCAACCUGGGAAUGGCCGUUGAGACUGUAAGGCUAGAGUGUGUCAGAGGGGGGUAGAAUUCCGACGUGUAGCAGUGAAAUGCGUAGAGAUGUGGAGGAAUACCGAUGGCGAAGGCAGCCCCCUGGGAUAACACUGACGCUACAUGGUACGAAAGCGUGGG
rnacentral:rRNA from 1 species